UACGUAGGGGGCAAGCGUUGUCCGGAUUUAUUGGGCGUAAAGAGCGUGUAGGCGGCCAUACAGGUCAGCUGUGAAAACUCGAGGCUCAACCUCGAGACGUCGGUUGAAACCGUAUGGCUAGAGUCUGGAAGAGGAGAGUGGAAUUCCCGGUGUAGCGGUGAAAUGCGCAGAUAUCGGGAAGAACACCCGUGGCGAAGGCGGCUCUCUGGGCAACAACUGACGCUGAGGAGCGAAAGCGUGGGGAGCGAACAGG
rnacentral:rRNA from 1 species